GGCAAGCAGCAGGUCAGUAGAGCAGCAGGGCAGGCUACCCAAGCCCUCCUAGAACGUGGGCUGUACAGCUGGUGGUGGGGGUAUAGGGCAAGAGAAUCAUUCUGACAAAGGCUCCCCCUUCGCAUACACACACCCUACCCCACACCCUCUCCCAUUGCCCACUGGGCUCAUUCCACAAUUCCUCCUUGAUACCUGGGCACUCACAUAGUGUAAUAAAUAUGACAUUUAAAUGAAUGGAAUGGCAAAAAUGCUAGGAUAGGAAAGUGAUACAUGUAACGCCAUUGGAGUUCUAGCCCCACUGCUAGCUUUCUUAACUCUGUUUUCUACCAAACAUGUGUCAUUGCUGUUUUCCUUUGUUAGCUUCUCUCUUCCUAAAGGCCUCUCACUAUUUCACCCUCAUAGAUCCCUAACUUCACUGCCCCAUUUCUUCCUGUAUCAGUCUCUCUCUUUGUUCUCCGCCUUAACCAGAUUUGGACUGCCCUUCCCUGGCCCAGCUCUGCAAGCCACCCACAGUUCUUUCUCAUGACGAGGACGUCCCCACACUCAUCCUCAGAUGGCAGGAAGAUCUCUGACGCUGAGCACAGUGCCAAACCUAUAUAGAAACUCAUUUGGGAUAUGGAGGAGAAUAUGCCACCAGUUCUCCAAAGUGGAGGGCCAACCAUCAUACCAGUUGAUUCUAAGUGCUGGGAGCCUCUGUCUACACUUACUCUCCACCUCGCUCAGGCUCCAUAGGCAUGGUGUCUACCUGCUGGCCCAUCCUGGGAAGUCAUCCCAACGUGACAGAAUGGAAAAGAGAGGGCAUGGAAGACUAGUUCAUAGGUAAGGGCAAGAGGGACCUCGCAGAUGGUAAGGUGCUCUGUGGAGAAUCAGUUUGUCCAACUGAUAAACAGAAAACAGUACAAAGAAAUGUGCUAUCACAGAACGAUCUUAAGCACUGGAACCAGUCAGUCCCAGAUUCAAAUCCAGCUCUACCCUUCUCUAGGGAUGGUUUUCUUAUUCUCCAUCUCCUCCCCCUUAAAAUGGGGAUGAUAAUACCUCCUCAUGAGAGGCUGUGAGUAGCUGAUGGGAUAAUUUGUGUAAAUUGGCUAAUAAAGUAUCUGGUAAACAGUAGGGUCCCAAUACAGGAAGCUUGAGAUGGUAUUAAAUCACUGGUCAGGCAAUAGAUGCUCGAGACAGUAUGACAGCCACUAGCCACAUGUGGUUAUUUAAUUUAAAAUUCACUUCCUCAGUUGCACUAGCCACAGGCCAAAUGCGCAAUAGCCACAUGUGGCUAGUGGCUACCAUGGCGGAAAGCAUAGAUAUGGAACAUUUCCAACACCACAGAAAUAGCACUGCUAUUAGCACACCACAGGAUAGCACUGCUCUGGGGUUCUGAAUAAGAGAUACUCCCUGGGUCCAGCAGCACGGAUACUGGUCUGGAACUGCUCCCCUGACCAUAUCAGAGGUAUGUGCCUGUGACUGAAUCAGCUGGUGCUUCACUAGAGACUGUGUCAGACUAUAUGGGCUCCCAAUUCUUUCCUUUGCCUCCCAUUCAGUGCUCACCAGUACUAGAGUGGAUCUUGAUGCUGAUCACCACAAACCCAGGCCUCCCAGCAGAUUCUUUUUUUU
rnacentral:lncRNA from 1 species